rnacentral:rRNA from 1 species
GGGGAAUUUUGGACAAUGGGCGAAAGCCUGAUCCAGCAAUGCCGCGUGUGUGAAGAAGGCCUUCGGGUUGUAAAGCACUUUUGUCCGGAAAGAAAUCCUUGGCUCUAAUACAGUCGGGGGAUGACGGUACCGGAAGAAUAAGCACCGGCUAACUACGUGCCAGCAGCCGCGGUAAUACGUAGGGUGCAAGCGUUAAUCGGAAUUACUGGGCGUAAAGCGUGCGCAGGCGGUUUGCUAAGACCGAUGUGAAAUCCCCGGGCUCAACCUGGGAACUGCAUUGGUGACUGGCAGGCUAGAGUAUGGCAGAGGGGGGUAGAAUUCCACGUGUAGCAGUGAAAUGCGUAGAGAUGUGGAGGAAUACCGAUGGCGAAGGCAGCCCCCUGGGCCAAUACUGACGCUCAUGCACGAAAGCGUGGGGAGCAAACAGGAUUAGAUACCCUGGUAGUCCACGCCCUAAACGAUGUCAACUAGUUGUUGGGGAUUCAUUUCCUUAGUAACGUAGCUAACGCGUGAAGUUGACCGCCUGGGGAGUACGGUCGCAAGAUUAAAACUCAAAGGAAUUGACGGGGACCCGCACAAGCGGUGGAUGAUGUGGAUUAAUUCGAUGCAACGCGAAAAACCUUACCUACCCUUGACAUGGUCGGAAUCCUGCUGAGAGGCGGGAGUGCUCGAAAGAGAACCGGCGCACAGGUGCUGCAUGGCUGUCGUCAGCUCGUGUCGUGAGAUGUUGGGUUAAGUCCCGCAACGAGCGCAACCCUUGUCCUUAGUUGCUACGCAAGAGCACUCUAAGGAGACUGCCGGUGACAAACCGGAGGAAGGUGGGGAUGACGUCAAGUCCUCAUGGCCCUUAUGGGUAGGGCUUCACACGUCAUACAAUGGUCGGAACAGAGGGUUGCCAACCCGCGAGGGGGAGCUAAUCCCAGAAAACCGAUCGUAGUCCGGAUUGCACUCUGCAACUCGAGUGCAUGAAGC